rnacentral:rRNA from 1 species
AUUGAACGCUGGCGGCAGGCCUAACACAUGCAAGUCGAGCGGAUGAAGGGAGCUUGCUCCUGGAUUCAGCGGCGGACGGGUGAGUAAUGCCUAGGAAUCUGCCUGGUAGUGGGGGAUUACGUCCGGAAACGGGCGCUAAUACCGCAUACGUCCUGAGGGAGAAAGUGGGGGAUCUUCGGACCUCACGCUAUCAGAUGAGCCUAGGUCGGAUUAGCUAGUUGGUGGGGUAAAGGCCUACCAAGGCGACGAUCCGUAACUGGUCUGAGAGGAUGAUCAGUCACACUGGAACUGAGACACGGUCCAGACUCCUACGGGAGGCAGCAGUGGGGAAUAUUGGACGAUGGGCGAAAGCCUGAUCCAGCCGUGCCGCGUUGGUGAAGAAGGUCUUCGGAUUGUAAAGCACUUUAAGUUGGGAGGAAGGGCAGUAAGUUCAUACCUUGCUGUUUUGACGUUACCAACAGAAUAAGCACCGGCUAACUUCGUG